GACGAACGCUGGCGGCGUGCUUAACACAUGCAAGUCGGACGGAAAGACCCUGCUUUUGUGUGGUUCUCGAGUGGCGAACGGGUGAGUAACACGCGAGUAACCUGCCCUUGACUUUGUGAUAACUUCAGGAAACUCGGGCUAAUAUCCGGUAGGAGCUCCUGCUGCACAUUGUUGGUUGGAGAGUUUCGGCGGUUGUGGAUGUACUCGCGGCUUAUCAGCUUGUUGGUGUGGUAGUGGAUUACCAAGGCUUUGACGGGUAGCCUGCCUGAGAGGGUUACCGGGGUCAUUGGGACUGAGAUACGGCACAGAAUGCUACGGGACGCAGCAGUGGGGAAUAUUGCACAAUAGGCGGAAGUGUGAUGCAGCAACGCCGCGUGCGGGAUAACGGGCUUAGGGUUGUAAACAGAUUUCGCCUGUGACGAAGAGUGAGUGACGGUAAUGAGUAAAGAAGCACCGGCUAACUACGUG
rnacentral:rRNA from 1 species